UUUCCUUGCCAAUAACCGUGAUACUUUCAGUUCCAUGGACACCUAGCAUUACUGGUCAGCUAGCCUCGCGAGCCAGUCUCUUUUUUCACUUCGUUCAACAGAUCUGGUCAGCUAACAAUUUAGGCAAAAUAAUGUUCCCAUGGCAGACUAUGCUUCCUUUCUGUUCUGAAGAUUUUGAUAUAAUUGGAUGAUGAAACAAACCAAACAGAGCAGGCUAACUUGGAAAUUCCUAAACAUAGCGUCUUCUCUGGAUGCAGAAAAACCAAUAAGCCCGGUUGCCGAAGAACAGACGCGUGAUGGAUCGGGAGGAGGUGAAGAGGGAACAGAUAAAGAGGGACUGUACCACAUCUCUGGAGAGAGGAGAUAUAAUGAACUGUUGGGCACAAAUAAUAAGCAGCAACGGAAGGCCGCUGUUGUGUUUUUUAAAGCAAAUCGAGUUAUCUGUGCCGCUUGUGUUUUUGAUAAAGCUUGGAUGAGGUCCUUGGUGUGCAAGCUGAUAUAGACAUUGUUUAACGGAAUGUCUAGAGUGUUUCAACAUACAAAUUCCAAAUGCAUAUCUUUGCUCUUUUUUUCUUUUUUAACCCUGCCUGUUCAAUUGGCUUGUUUUUCUUCAGUUAUUUGUGGGCUUGAAGUAGUGAAAUAACACAACGAAUAUGCACAUGCACACAUACACAUAGCGCCGCUUUACUCCUCAUGUGUCAAGCAUGUGUUGUUUCAUGAGUAACACAGUUUCAUGUGACACUGUGUAAAUCAUUUCUGAAAUACAAUGCUAGUAAGCGAUUCACUUUUGGUUCAGCUAAGAGCCCCCUUCAGUCCUGCAGUUCAGCUCCUUAAAUUAUGGAGUGCUCUCAGAUGGAACCAAAGUUCCUUUACCUUUUAAUCCCUUUUGCUUUUUGAACUUUUGUCUUUUUCACACUUCCUGAAAGCAUGGAGUCAGGCCCCCUCACGAGGGUUCAAAAACCCCAAGAUCCAGUUUGUCUGCUCUUAUUUAUUUGAUUUCGUUCAUGUCAGACUUACAUAUUGCUCACUUCUGCAAGAGAAAGCGGUGGGUAUAUGAAGGAGCAAUUUCAGCAGAGCUUAAUUAGGGGAUGAGGGACACACCGCCCUUAUUGCAUGACUGUUGCUCUGAAGUAUAAUUUACAGUAAGCACCACGCCUUGUUGCCGCGGUGACGUGGCCAGUCUUCACAUGUCGCCACCCAAACGGAAUCGUGCUGUUAAACGGAUUAUGUCAAUGUGGUAUGAAGGGAACAAUAAACUCACCGAGAGCUUUUGGUCGGACAUACCGAACUUCUGAAAAUCAUCUUGGUUAAGAACAACUGAAUGGAUAAGUAUUUGGUUCAUCCAGAUAUUUGGCUAACAAAGAACAUUUUGGAGAAGAGUACGGUUAGGUUCAUUUGGUAGAGCAGUAUUGUUAUUGAAAAAUGUUCCCGAAAUAAUCUAACAUAUACAUCCACCACCC